AUUGAACGCUGGCGGAAUGCUUUACACAUGCAAGUCGAACGGCAGCACGGACUUCGGUCUGGUGGCGAGUGGCGAACGGGUGAGUAAUGUAUCGGAACGUGCCCAGUCGUGGGGGAUAACGUAGUGAAAAUUACGCUAAUACCGCAUACGAUCUAUGGAUGAAAGCGGGGGAUCGCAAGACCUCGCGCGAUUGGAACGGCCGAUAUCAGAUUAGGUAGUUGGUGGGGUAAAGGCCCACCAAGCCAACGAUCUGUAGCUGGUCUGAGAGGACGACAGCCACACUGGAACUGAGACACGGUCCAGACUCCUACGGGAGGCAGCAGUGGGGAAUUUUGGACAAUGGGCGAAAGCCUGAUCCAGCCAUUCCGCGUGCAGGAUGAAGGCCCUCGGGUUGUAAACUGCUUUUGUACAGAACGAAAAGGUUUCUACUAAUACUAGGAGCUCAUGACGGUACUGUAAGAAUAAGCACCGGCUAACUACGUGUCAGCCGCCGCAGUAA
rnacentral:rRNA from 1 species